UGCAAAGGGCCCUUUCAUCUUGAAGU
rnacentral:piRNA from 1 species